rnacentral:rRNA from 1 species
AUUGAACGCUGGCGGCAGGCCUAGCACAUGCAAGUCGAGCGGAUGAAGGGAGCUUGCUCCUGGAUUCAGCGUCGGACGGGUGAGUAAUGCCUAUGAAUCUGCCUGGUAGUGGUGGAUAACGUCCGGAAACGGGCGCUAAUACCGCAUACUUCCUGAUGGAGAAAGUUGGGGAUCUUCGGACCUCACGCUAUCAGAUGAGCCUAGGUCGGAUUAGCUAGUUGGUGGGGUAAAGGCCUACCAAGGCGACGAUCCGUAACUGGUCUGAGAGGAUGAUCAGUCACAUGGGAACUGAGCCACGGUCAAGAGUACUAAGGGAGGGCGCAGUCGGGAAUAUUGGACAAUGGGCGAAAGCAUGAUACAGCCAUGCCGCGUGUGUGAAGAAGGUCUUCGGAUCGUAAAGCACUUUAAGUUGGGAGGAAGGGCAGUAAGCUAAUACCUUGCUGUUUUGACGUUAACAACAGAAUAAGCACCGGCUAACUUCGUG